rnacentral:tRNA from 1 species
GGGCAGGUACCUAAGUGGCUAAAAGGGACAGACUGUAAAUCUGUUGGGCUACGCUCUUCAGGGGUUCGAAUCCUCUCCUGCCCACCA